rnacentral:rRNA from 1 species
GAGUUUGAUCCUGGCUCAGGAUGAACGCUGGCGGCGUGCCUAAUACAUGCAAGUCGAGCGAACGGACGAGAAGCUUGCUUCUCUGAUGUUAGCGGCGGACGGGUGAGUAACACGUGGAUAACCUACCUAUAAGACUGGGAUAACUUCGGGAAACCGGAGCUAAUACCGGAUAAUAUUUUGAACCGCAUGGUUCAAAAGUGAAAGACGGUCUUGCUGUCACUUAUAGAUGGAUCCGCGCUGCAUUAGCUAGUUGGUAAGGUAACGGCUUACCAAGGCAACGAUGCAUAGCCGACCUGAGAGGGUGAUCGGCCACACUGGAACUGAGACACGGUCCAGACUCCUACGGGAGGCAGCAGUAGGGAAUCUUCCGCAAUGGGCGAAAGCCUGACGGAGCAACGCCGCGUGAGUGAUGAAGGUCUUCGGAUCGUAAAACUCUGUUAUUAGGGAAGAACAUAUGUGUAAGUAACUGUGCACAUCUUGACGGUACCUAAUCAGAAAGCCACGGCUAACUACGUGCCAGCAGCCGCGGUAAUACGUAGGUGGCAAGCGUUAUCCGGAAUUAUUGGGCGUAAAGCGCGCGUAGGCGGUUUUUUAAGUCUGAUGUGAAAGCCCACGGCUCAACCGUGGAGGGUCAUUGGAAACUGGAAAACUUGAGUGCAGAAGAGGAAAGUGGAAUUCCAUGUGUAGCGGUGAAAUGCGCAGAGAUAUGGAGGAACACCAGUGGCGAAGGCGACUUUCUGGUCUGUAACUGACGCUGAUGUGCGAAAGCGUGGGGAUCAAACAGGAUUAGAUACCCUGGUAGUCCACGCCGUAAACGAUGAGUGCUAAGUGUUAGGGGGUUUCCGCCCCUUAGUGCUGCAGCUAACGCAUUAAGCACUCCGCCUGGGGAGUACGACCGCAAGGUUGAAACUCAAAGGAAUUGACGGGGACCCGCACAAGCGGUGGAGCAUGCGGUUUAAUUCGAAGCAACGCGAAGAACCUUACCAAAUCUUGACAUCCUUUGACAACUCUAGAGAUAGAGCCUUCCCCUUCGGGGGACAAAGUGACAGGUGGUGCAUGGUUGUCGUCAGCUCGUGUCGUGAGAUGUUGGGUUAAGUCCCGCAACGAGCGCAACCCUUAAGCUUAGUUGCCAUCAUUAAGUUGGGCACUCUAAGUUGACUGCCGGUGACAAACCGGAGGAAGGUGGGGAUGACGUCAAAUCAUCAUGCCCCUUAUGAUUUGGGCUACACACGUGCUACAAUGGACAAUACAAAGGGUAGCGAAACCGCGAGGUCAAGCAAAUCCCAUAAAGUUGUUCUCAGUUCGGAUUGUAGUCUGCAACUCGACUACAUGAAGCUGGAAUCGCUAGUAAUCGUAGAUCAGCAUGCUACGGUGAAUACGUUCCCGGGUCUUGUACACACCGCCCGUCACACCACGAGAGUUUGUAACACCCGAAGCCGGUGGAGUAACCUUUUAGGAGCUAGCCGUCGAAGGUGGGACAAAUGAUUGGGGUGAAGUCGUAACAAGGUAGCCGUAUCGGAAGGUGCGGCUGGAUCACC